UUCUAAACCCCCGGCGGAAAGGGUCAUUUCUCCAGCUUUCUCCUUCAUCGGUCUUUCGCUUCUCCCGUCUUGGUCGUUUGCUGCUUCCUUCGUCUUCGGUUCAGUGAUAUAGAGGCCGAACUCCCUCUUCACCGUCUCCCACUUCAAGCGUGCAGGGUUUCGCCGUGUACUCCUUCAGGAAAAUCAUUUCACGAGCAAGACUUUCGACUAAGGUGCGUCAUCCUUCAUUUUUCCGGCUUACAAGCCUGCCCUCGACACACUGUUUGUGCGGGUGCGGGUGUGGUGUUUCUAUGCUGUGGCGGAGUUAUUUCGAAACUGUCAGGAGAAGAUAAGCGCCGGAAGAAGAAAUAAAAAGAACUGAGCACGCUAUGUACGGAGUUCGAUCUGUGGCGGCACUCUGAGUUUCGAUUAACUUGGUGCAAAUGUUUGGCAAUUCUACAUCGAAUUUCAGUUAGCGCAUCCAUGUAGUCUCUGUGUGCGACGGAGAGUUUGAGGAUGUACCUCGCGUCCGUUCCUUAUUUACAACGUUGAUGUGAAGGUGUCAUCUCUUGCCGUCAUCAACUAUCGCCGCCGUUACUUUGCUGGUGAUGAUUAGUGCAUGUAAUCUGUGUGCUAUUGGCACUAAUGUGUGAUCCUUUUCAGAUUUGUUUCGUUUCUUUCAGGAGGGACAUGCUAUUAUUUUUUCCUUGUAACGUUGGCUCGUGUUGCUCUCAGUUUUUUUUCUAAGUUGAGUUAGCAAUUCGUUAUGAAUUAGUGAUAUAUUCUGCAUUAUUGCUCGGAUGCUCGCAUUAUUGCAUUAUGUUUGUGGAAGUGUUCCAGUUAUUCAGUAUCUGCUCUUAAAGAUUUCAGUAGAGAUCAUAUUAUAGGGGGUGGAGGGAAGGGGAUCCUUCAUGAAAGAGGAACCAUCACUCUCCACAAUUCUAACCCUAGCUAAGGACGAACUAUUUCAAUACAUUGUGAUUAUGGGAGUAGCAUAUUAGCUUGUUGUCUAGGCAUGCAUUAUGGUUUUUAUUUGCGUAAAUUGUGUACAAGUAGGUACCAAAAGUAUUUUUAUAAUAUUUUUGGAACAAAUAGGGAGGUUACUUGGUUGUGUUACAUGAAAGUGCAGCUUUUUCACAUCGAUGGUGGCUUUGCACUAAUUUUGGUGUGAUGAAUAAGGAGGACUUAGAUUGGAUGGUGGCCAAUGAAGUAUCAUGAAGUUGUUUGUUUUCUAGUGGUUUCAUGGGAGUUGUUCCAUUUAGGUCUAAAGAAAUGGUCUAAAGAAAUGGGCAUAGGGAGUUUGGUCUUAAGGUGAUAUGAAGGGGAUGGUUGGCAUUGUUGAUUAAGAGUUGAGGUCUUGUAAGAAGAGACGUAUAUGAUGCAUAUUGAUGACUAUUUUGAAUAGUGAGUGAUUGAGUAUUAGAUAUUUUUAUGAGAAAUAUUGGCAACAAAGAAUAUAUAUAGGAGAUUGGGAAGGUACUAAAAUAAAAUUUAAUAAGUUAGAAAAUGUAUUUUAUAUUUUUUGCAUGAUUAGUGUUUUAGUGCAGAGUAUAAAUUAAUUCUUUAUCAUGAAGUAAAGUUUGAGAAGAUAUUAAACUAUGAUUGCUAUGGGAUAGUAAUACUUGAUGAGUUCAAAAAUUUGUACAGAAUAGAAGAUAAAUUGGUGAUAAGAAAAUAAGGUAUUAUCCAUAAGUGAAUGAAAAAGAAUAUAAGAGGAGUGGAUUGAAACAUGUGUAGAAUAGAACACUAAGUUUAAGUUGAUGUAAAAAAGAGUUUAUAAUUUGGCAUUUGAUGUAGUGAUUUGUUUGGUUUGUGAAUUUGCAAGUAUGUGCAUGAGAGAAAUUGUUUUUUGAGAGUAUAGUAAUGAUGAAAAAUAAAUAAAAUUUGUAUGGUAUUAAGUAUAAUUUGUAGGAUUAAAUAUGAUUCUCACAAACACUUCAAAUAUUUAAAGUUUUGAGUUUUGAUAUAUUAAAUAAGUGGAUUUCAAUUAUUGAUAAGGUAGAAUACUUGACAUAUUUGAAGAUGAAGAUUUGGAUCUAACCAAAAUAUGCAUUAAUGUAAGUUGGAUAGAAUUUGAUUUUUUUGUUUGUCAUGUUUAGGUAUUAUGAUUGUGCAAUUAAAAGAUUAGAAGUGAUUAUACAAGUGAUCUACCAUGGCCAAUUGUUCAUUUGGUUGUUUGCAUGGAUAUGCAUCUUUAUCAAGAAAAGAAGACAAGGUGCAAAGUAUUUAUUUGCAAUUUAUUGAUUAAAAGAAUGGAAGAUUUAUUGAAGAUAAAAUACAUGUUGAAUAGAAAACAAUGUACUAGUUUGUAUAUGCAACUUAUCCAAGUGAUGAAAGUAUUUGACAAGAUAUUGACUUAUGAUGACAACAUUGGAAAGAUAUGGCUCAUAUUUUUUGAGUUGCAUGUUGUGAUAAGCAAAAGUUUCUUAUUAUUAGAAAAUUGUGGAGAUGAAAAAUGGCGUGAAGCAACCAUCUUUCAAAUGAAGAAGAAAGAAAGUUUUAGAGAAAUCCUUUUAGAUUUGGUUAUUUGUUGCAAUGCAGCAAUUGAUACCAUGACAAUGCCUUAUUCAAAAGAAGUUGAAGGCAUCACACGAAUUAUGUGUAAUGUUGAUAUAUUUGAUGAAGUUGAAGGAGAUAAUGCAAGUCUCUAUGAGAGGUUAAUUGAUGGAAGCCUAGAUACUUGCUUUGAAGAAUGUAGAUUAGCAAAAUAUCUUUUUCAGAGACGGAAAGAUUUGGGUCGUGUUGAGGGUGGAGAGUUGGAUGCUUUGGAACUUUCAAACAACAUAAAGAGCUUGAAAAUUGGUGAGCAAAUAGGCAAAGGUGCUAAUGGAGAUGUUUACGAAUCAAAGUGGUUUAGAAUGUUGAGUGCCACAAAGGUAAUAGUUGGUACUUUUGAAGACCAUGUUCCCAUUGAAGUGGGCAUUUUAGCAAGUUUGAGCCAUCCCAAUCUUGUGAGGUAUUUUUUUGAUGAAAAGUAGACAUCGAUAAAUUUGGUGAGAGUUACCCUAUAGAAAGGAGAAAUGAAACUUUGUAUUUAGCUACAAAAUUAAUGGACAUGAGUUUGAUUGA